UACGUAGGGGGCAAGCGUUGUCCGGAAUUAUUGGGCGUAAAGCGCGUGUAGGCUGCUCGGUAAGUCUGCUGUGAAAGUCUAGGGCUCAACCCUGGAACGCCGGUGGAUACUGUCGAGCUCGAGUCCGGAAGAGGCGAGUGGAAUUCCUGGUGUAGCGGUGAAAUGCGCAGAUAUCAGGAGGAACACCGAUGGCGAAGGCAGCUCGCUGGGACGGUACUGACGCUGAGACGCGAAAGCGUGGGGAGCAAACAGG
rnacentral:rRNA from 1 species